GAUGAACGCUAGCGGCAGGCUUAACACAUGCAAGUCGAGGGGUAGAGGAAGCUUGCUUCCUUGAGACCGGCGCACGGGUGCGUAACGCGUAUACAAUCUACCUUUUACAGAGGGAUAGCCCCAGAGAAAUUUGGAUUAAUACCUCAUAGUAUUUUCGGAUCGCAUGAUUUGAUUAUUAAAGUUCCAAACGGUAAAAGAUGAGUAUGCGUCCCAUUAGCUAGAUGGUAAGGUAACGGCUUACCAUGGCAAUGAUGGGUAGGGGUCCUGAGAGGGAGAUCCCCCCACACUGGUACUGAGACACGGACCAGACUCCUACGGGAGCAGCAGUGAGGAAUAUUGGACAAUGGGCGCAAGCCUGAUCCAGCCA
rnacentral:rRNA from 1 species